GAUGAACGCUAGCGGUAUGCUGAACACAUGCAAGUCGUACGGAAAAGAAGUUUUUAGUGGCGGACGGGUGAGUAACGAGUGAGAAUUUACUUUUCGGAAGAGGAUAACAUGUAGAAAUAAUUGCUAAAACUCUAUCUGCCGGUUGGUGAAAAAAGUAAUUUGCCUAAAGAGAAGCUAGCGUAUACUUAGCAAGUUGGUAGGGUAGAGGCCUACCAAGGUGACGAUGAGUAGCUGGUCUGAGAGCAGGAUCAGACACACUGGAACUGAGACACGGUCCAGACUCCUACGGGAGGCAGCAGUGAGGAAAUUUCUGUAAUGGGCGAAAGCCUGACAGAGCAAUACCGCGUGAAGGAUGAAGACCUACGGUUUGUAUACCUCUUUUCGCAAGGAGGAAGAUCUGACGUUACUUGAGGAAUAAGCAUCGGCUAACCCUGUGCCAGCCGCCGCCGUAACAC
rnacentral:rRNA from 1 species